UACGUAGGGUGCAGGCGUUAAUCGGAAUCACUGGGCGUAAAGCGCACGUAGGCGGAUUGUUAAGUCGGGGGUGAAAUCCUGAGGCUCAACCUCAGAACUGCCUUCGAUACUGGCGAUCUUGAGUCCGGAAGAGGUUGGUGGAACAGCUAGUGUAGAGGUGAAAUUCGUAGAUAUUAGCUAGAACACCAGUGGCGAAGGCGGCCAACUGGUCCGGAACUGACGCUGAGGUGCGAAAGCGUGGGGAGCAAACAGG
rnacentral:rRNA from 1 species